GGUUAAGCGACUAAGCGUACACGGUGGAUGCCCUGGCAGUCAGAGGCGAUGAAGGACGUGCUAAUCUGCGAAAAGCGUCGGUAAGGUGAUAUGAACCGUUAUAACCGGCGAUGUCCGAAUGGGGAAACCCAGUGUGUUUCGACACACUAUCAUUAACUGAAUCCAUAGGUUAAUGAGGCGAACCGGGGGAACUGAAACAUCUAAGUACCCCGAGGAAAAGAAAUCAACCGAGAUUCCCCCAGUAGCGGCGAGCGAACGGGGAGGAGCCCAGAGCCUGAAUCAGUGUGUGUGUUAGUGGAAGCGUCUGGAAAGGCGUGCGAUACAGGGUGACAGCCCCGUACACAAAAAUGCACAUGCUGUGAGCUCGAUGAGUAGGGCGGGACACGUGGUAUCCUGUCUGAAUAUGGGGGGACCAUCCUCCAAGGCUAAAUACUCCUGACUGACCGAUAGUGAACCAGUACCGUGAGGGAAAGGCGAAAAGAACCCCGGCGAGGGGAGUGAAAAAGAACCUGAAACCGUGUACGUACAAGCAGUGGGAGCCCUGAUUUAUCAGGGUGACUGCGUACCUUUUGUAUAAUGGGUCAGCGACUUAUAUUCUGUAGCAAGGUUAACCGAAUAGGGGAGCCGGAGGGAAACCGAGUCUUAACUGGGCGUUAAGUUGCAGGGUAUAGACCCGAAACCCGGUGAUCUAGCCAUGGGCAGGUUGAAGGUUGGGUAACACUAACUGGAGGACCGAACCGACUAAUGUUGAAAAAUUAGCGGAUGACUUGUGGCUGGGGGUGAAAGGCCAAUCAAACCGGGAGAUAGCUGGUUCUCCCCGAAAGCUAUUUAGGUAGCGCCUCGUGAAUUCAUCUCCGGGGGUAGAGCACUGUUUCGGCAAGGGGGUCAUCCCGACUUACCAACCCGAUGCAAACUGCGAAUACCGGAGAAUGUUAUCACGGGAGACACACGGCGGGUGCUAACGUCCGUCGUGAAGAGGGAAACAACCCAGACCGCCAGCUAAGGUCCCAAAGUCAUGGUUAAGUGGGAAACGAUGUGGGAAGGCCCAGACAGCCAGGAUGUUGGCUUAGAAGCAGCCAUCAUUUAAAGAAAGCGUAAUAGCUCACUGGUCGAGUCGGCCUGCGCGGAAGAUGUAACGGGGCUAAACCAUGCACCGAAGCUGCGGCAGCGACGCUGAUGCGUUGUUGGGUAGGGGAGCGUUCUGUAAGCCUGUGAAGGUAUGCUGUGAGGCAUGCUGGAGGUAUCAGAAGUGCGAAUGCUGACAUAAGUAACGAUAAAGCGGGUGAAAAGCCCGCUCGCCGGAAGACCAAGGGUUCCUGUCCAACGUUAAUCGGGGCAGGGUGAGUCGACCCCUAAGGCGAGGCCGAAAGGCGUAGUCGAUGGGAAACAGGUUAAUAUUCCUGUACUUGGUGUUACUGCGAAGGGGGGACGGAGAAGGCUAUGUUGGCCGGGCGACGGUUGUCCCGGUUUAAGCGUGUAGGCUGGUUUUCCAGGCAAAUCCGGAGAAUCAAGGCUGAGGCGUGAUGACGAGGCACUACGGUGCUGAAGCAACAAAUGCCCUGCUUCCAGGAAAAGCCUCUAAGCAUCAGGUAACAUCAAAUCGUACCCCAAACCGACACAGGUGGUCAGGUAGAGAAUACCAAGGCGCUUGAGAGAACUCGGGUGAAGGAACUAGGCAAAAUGGUGCCGUAACUUCGGGAGAAGGCACGCUGAUAUGUAGGUGAAGCGACUUGCUCGUGGAGCUGAAAUCAGUCGAAGAUACCAGCUGGCUGCAACUGUUUAUUAAAAACACAGCACUGUGCAAACACGAAAGUGGACGUAUACGGUGUGACGCCUGCCCGGUGCCGGAAGGUUAAUUGAUGGGGUCAGCGCAAGCGAAGCUCUUGAUCGAAGCCCCGGUAAACGGCGGCCGUAACUAUAACGGUCCUAAGGUAGCGAAAUUCCUUGUCGGGUAAGUUCCGACCUGCACGAAUGGCGUAAUGAUGGCCAGGCUGUCUCCACCCGAGACUCAGUGAAAUUGAACUCGCUGUGAAGAUGCAGUGUACCCGCGGCAAGACGGAAAGACCCCGUGAACCUUUACUAUAGCUUGACACUGAACACUGGUCCUUGAUGUGUAGGAUAGGUGGGAGGCUUUGAAGUGUGGACGCCAGUCUGCAUGGAGCCGUCCUUGAAAUACCACCCUUUAAUGGCUGGUGUUCUAACGUAGGCCCCUUAUCGGGGUUGCGGACAGUGUCUGGUGGGUAGUUUGACUGGGGCGGUCUCCUCCUAAAGAGUAACGGAGGAGCACGAAGGUUGGCUAAUCCUGGUCGGACAUCAGGAGGUUAGUGCAAUGGCAUAAGCCAGCUUGACUGCGAGCGUGACGGCGCGAGCAGGUGCGAAAGCAGGUCAUAGUGAUCCGGUGGUUCUGAAUGGAAGGGCCAUCGCUCAACGGAUAAAAGGUACUCCGGGGAUAACAGGCUGAUACCGCCCAAGAGUUCAUAUCGACGGCGGUGUUUGGCACCUCGAUGUCGGCUCAUCACAUCCUGGGGCUGAAGUAGGUCCCAAGGGUAUGGCUGUUCGCCAUUUAAAGUGGUACGCGAGCUGGGUUUAGAACGUCGUGAGACAGUUCGGUCCCUAUCUGCCGUGGGCGCUGGAGAACUGAGGGGGGCUGCUCCUAGUACGAGAGGACCGGAGUGGACGCAUCACUGGUGUUCGGGUUGUCAUGCCAAUGGCACUGCCCGGUAGCUAAAUGCGGAAGAGAUAAGUGCUGAAAGCAUCUAAGCACGAAACUUGCCCCGAGAUGAGUUCUCCCUGAGACCUGGAGUCUCCUGAAGGAACGUUGAAGACGACGACGUUGAUAGGCCGGGUGUGUAAGCGCAGCGAUGCGUUGAGCUAACCGGUACUAAUGAACCGUGAGGCUUAACCUU
rnacentral:rRNA from 1 species